rnacentral:rRNA from 1 species
AAUGGGCGAAAGCCUGACCGAGCGAUGCCGCGUGAGUGAAGAAGGCCCUAUGGGUUGUAAAGCUCUGUCAGAUUGGGAAGAAAACUCUGCGGUUAAUACCCGUGGRRCUUGACGGUACCAUCAGAGGAAGCACCGGCUAACUCCGUGCCAGCAGCCGCGGUAAUACGGAGGGUGCAAGCGUUGUUCGGAUUCAUUGGGUAUAAAGGGUGCGCAGGCGGCCUGAUAAGUCAGAGGUGAAAUAUGCCGGCUYAACCGKCAAACUGCCCCUGAAACUGUCAGGCUUGAGUUCGAGAGAGGUAGGUGGAAUUCCAGGUGUAGCGGUGAAAUGCGUAAAUAUCUGGAGGAACACCGGUGGCGAAGGCGGCCUACUGGCUCGAUAUUGACGCUCAGGCACGAAAGCAUGGGGAGCGAACGGGAUUAGAUACCCCGGUAGUCCAUGCCGUAAACGAUGGRUACUAGGUGUU